rnacentral:rRNA from 1 species
UACGUAGGCAGCGAGCGUUGUUCGGAAUUACUGGGCGUAAAGCGUGCGCAGGCGGCUUUGCAAGACAGAUGUGAAAUCCCCGGGCUUAACCUGGAACUGCAUUUGUGACUGCAUGGCUGGAGUGCGGCAGAGGGGGAUGGAAUUCCGCGUGUAGCAGUGAAAUGCGUAGAUAUGCGGAGGAACACCGAUGGCGAAGGCAAUCCCCUGGGCCUGCACUGACGCUCAUGCACGAAAGCGUGGGGAGCAAACAGG